rnacentral:rRNA from 1 species
UGAAGAAUAUUGCACAAUGGAGGAAACUCUGAUGCAGCAACGCCGCGUGAAGGAUGAAGGUUUUCGGAUUGUAAACUUCUUUUGUCGGGGACGAAAAAAAUGACGGUACCUGACGAAUAAGCCACGGCUAACUACGUGCCAGCAGCCGCGGUAAUACGUAGGUGGCAAGCGUUAUCCGGAUUUACUGGGUGUAAAGGGCGAGUAGGCGGGAUCGUAAGUCAGAUGUGAAAUCUGGGGGCUCAACCCCCAAACUGCAUUUGAAACUAUGAUUCUUGAGUGAUGGAGAGGCAGGCGGAAUUCCCGGUGUAGCGGUGGAAUGCGUAGAGAUCGGGAGGAACACCAGUGGCGAAGGCGGCCUGCUGGACAUUAACUGACGCUGAGGAGCGAAAGCGUGGGGAGC